UGAGCAACCUACCGAAAUGUGGGGGAUAGCCGGCCUAACGGCCGAGUAAUACCGCAUACGCUCUCGAUGAGGCAUUUCAUUGAGAGGAAACCUACGGGACAUUUCGAGGGGCUCGCGGCCUAUCAGCUUGUUGGCGAGGUAACGGCUCACCAAGGCAACGACGGGUAGCUGGUCUGAGAGGAUGGCCAGCCACAUUGGGACUGAGAUACGGCCCAGACUCCGUACGGGAGCAG
rnacentral:rRNA from 1 species